rnacentral:rRNA from 1 species
AGUCUGCAACUCGACUCCAUGAAGUCGGAAUCGCUAGUAAUCGUAGAUCAGAAUGCUACGGUGAAUACGUUCCCGGGCCUUGUACACACCGCCCGUCACACCAUGGGAGUGGGCUGCACCAGAAGUAGAUAGUCUAACCUUCGGGAGGACGUUUACCACGGUGUGGUUCAUGACUGGGGUGAAGUCGUAACAAGGUAGCCCUAGGGGAACCUGGGGCUGGAUCACCUCCUUACCU